CUUUCAUUCACACAUGCAAGUAUUUUACACAUAGCGAGUUUGUGUGCCAUUUGUCGUCAAAUGACUAAAACCAUUGGCAUUUUCUGUUUCAUGUUUACUGAACCUAACAAAAGAAAUAUGAAAUGAUCUUCGUAAUAAUUGAAAACCAUAAUUAUUUGAUCCAUCAUUUCACGUCAUUGUCCAAGUUUUUUCAGGCACAAAUUAUUUAUGGAUAGG
rnacentral:misc_RNA from 1 species